GUGCUCGCUUCAGCAGCACAUAUACUAAAAUUGGAAUGCGACAGAGAAGAUUAGCAUGGCCCGUGCGCAAGGAUAACACGCAAAUUCGAGAAGCGUUCCAUAUUAAA
rnacentral:snRNA from 1 species